GAAUCUGGGUGUAUGUUAUGUAGAUUCACGUUUUCUACACUGCAGGUCUAAGAGGAAAGAAGUGAUGGAAUGUUUUUGACAAAAUUUCUUAGUGAUUUAGAAAUCAGUAUAAAUUUUAGCGGUAUUUUUCUUAAUUCAACAGAAAUGUAUUUUUUAAUAUCUAGGGCUUAAUUAAUGUAUCAUUACAAAGAUUUUUUCUUAUUCUGUUAAUAAAAAUUGCUUCUAAGAUAUCUUAGAGAUACCUACCAAAUGUAUUACCAUAUUCAGAAUAAAAAAAAAAAAAGGAGGAAAGCCAUAGCAUACUAAUGAAUGUGGAAAUUUACUCAUUUUUAUUUUUCUUGCUGUCAAUUUUCUUUUACUCCACUGUCUGAAAAUGUUGUAAACACUCAUUACAGAAAAUUAUAUGCAUGUGUAGAAUAUGAAAUUUGGGCUAGGCCUAUUGAAAGAAACAGCAGCUGAAAAUGGUUCUACAACAAGAACCCAGCAAAGAUGAAGAAGGCAUUAUCUACUCAGAAUACACUCAACUAGAAACCCCAUUUGAUUUUUUUCAUAAGAAAAGUAACACUUACUUUAAUAGCAUGGAACUAAAAUGCAUGUGACAUUUUUAUACAUUAAACAGUAAAACUGAAUAUUAUACUUUCACAAUUUAGCUAUAAAUUAGAUGGUCUAAAGUGUGCAUAUUCUUUUUAGGUUGGUUUUUUAUAAAGGUCUAUACCAAACUACAAAAUGGAACUUGAAAAGUUUAUUUUAGUAUGUCUUGACUAGUUUUUUUUUAAAUAUCAAAAAAUAAUCUUAGCAAGUAUGAAUGCUUUAUUUUUGUUUUUCUUACUAAAGAGAUGGAUAAAGUGUGACAUCCAUAAGCUUGAGUCUUGCCCUUGUUUGAUAAUCCUUGAACCUCAGCCUUCUCCUAUAACUUAUACUUCUGUCCCAUUACCCAGGACCCCUGAACCUUAACCUUUCUCCUAUUACUCCUGUCCCCACAGCUCUUGCAUUUAACCCUUCCCCCAUGACCUUGAGCUGCACCCUUUUGCAUGACUUUUGAACUUUGCCCCUACCCAAUGUCUCCUGAACCUCAGCCUUCCUCCAUGACCCCAAAAAUCUCACCCUCUCCCAAGACACCUAAACCUCUGUCCCAUGCCUGCUGGACCUCAGCCCUCUACCAUGACAACCAAAGCUUAUGCAUACUAGACACUGAGGCUAAAGCAAUGAAACCGAAGGAAUAAAUGUUAUGUUGUUUUAUCACCUCAAAACUUAUAACAAGACAUGAUUCUCUUUGUUCAUUGAAUUUGUUUCUAAUUAAAUACAUUCAUGUCAAGUUCCACUAUUUUGCAGUUAAUGUAUCCUGGCUCUCAGGAUAAGGAAGGUAAUAAUGAAAACUAUGGACACAUUUCUUUUGCCUCCUUUUUUUUUGAAAUAACAAUUUCAUUUUUUAUUGACCUUGACAAUUUAAAAACAAAGAAUUCAUUGUGUAUAUUUAGAAUGCGAUCAAUUUAAAAUGUACAACCCUUCUGUAAACUCAAGAACAUUGUAUCCUUCAAUAACCGUUUGCCUUCUAUUUUUAAUAGGCAAAAAAUUAAAUCAUUCAAAGUGAGUCCUUGUAUUUUACCUACAUUUCUGACAGUGUUUGUGCUGAAUACUUACAAUUAAGAACAAACCUAUGAAUGUCACUUAGUUUUUAAUGUUUGAAUACUUCACAUAAUUCAUUAACAAUUGUGGUCAUAUCUGAGUUAUAAUGUAUCAAAAAUUUAACCUAUCUGAUACCUAUCCAGAUUAGCAUCUCUCAGAAAUCAGUCCAAAUGUAAGAAGGUAAGUUAAGAUGUGCUGUUUAUGUAGUAAAAUUGAAUGGAUCAGACCUACUUUUCAAGUAAUAAAUACUCACCAUGAGAAUAAUAAAAAUGUAAGUGGAUAUGUAAUAUAUGUUCCUUGUAGGUUGGUGAAAUAAAAUAAGAUACAAUGAGAAAUUACACUAUGAUAUGAUGUACCUGUUAUAAAAAUCUUAAAGUAUUUUGUUUCUUCCUUCUUUGUUUUUAUUACACCAUGAGGGUAUUUCAGCUAAUUUCAAGAAAUCUGAUUGAAGAUUGUUCCGAGCCCAGCCCUCUCACAUUUGAAAUAUUGAAUAUUGGAAUAUUGAUGUAUAUACAGUAGGGUAAAUUUUUGUGACCACUCUUCAAUGACUAGUGCAUAGUCAAACCCACAGUUAAAAAUGACAUCUUUUCACUGACAAGAAAUACCAGACGUUGCUUGUUUAUGGCACAUAAAGUCAGUAGAUUAAAGAAAAUAACAUACACUACACAACUGUCUCCAAAUGUUGGGUAAAGACUUCAGUAUACAAAAGCAAAGGCAUGGUGCUUCCAUUACUAAGUAAUAAUACAUUAAAUGUCAUACAUACUUAAGUAGUUGGUGUAUUUUUGUAGACAAUUAUGAUUUCAUGGUCACAUAUCUCUCAAUAAUAUGCUUACUGAUCAGAAUUAUCGCCAAGUCAGUGGACAUCUAUGAUGGUAAGUUUUUACUACUAAAUGUUCUUAAAACACAGAGACCCCAAAAAGACCGAUAGUAAAAUUAUCUCUUAAGAAGCAUAUUGUGAACCAGACAUCCACGUUGAGAUGCAAAGUCACUAAAUCUCCUCAAACUACCUUUUCAACUCCUCGGUGCUGCAGUUCGUAACUUCAAAAUGUUCCUCCUGAAUGAAAGUGGAUGUGGGUUUUGCUCUGACAACACUCCAGUGCGUACUUCUCUGCUACUGAGUUCAAUAAUUUUGGAAAAUUUAGAAAUAUUUCUUUCUUCCUUUAGAAACACUCAAAUCUCAAAAAUUAGAAGUUUUAUUUUGGAGUCCUCAUAAAUCCGCUGAUUCUUUUAAAGAAAAAAAUAGCAACAAAAGAAAAUAAUAAUCAGAAAAUAAGGCCCCUUUACUUUUAGGAUAUGCUUAUUUUGAAAUGCAUAUAUCUCAGAGGUUCAUAAUUACAUGUUACUUGAAUUUCAUAACAUGCUAAAUUCUUGAGAUAGUCUCUCUCCAGUGCCAUCUAUGGAAGGCCACUCUUCACUCAUAUGUUCAUUAAGCACCUGCCUGCAUAUGUGUAUGUAGCUGAAGGUCAUUUUGUAUAGAAAGGAGUCACUACCAAUAGAGCAACAUUCCAGUCCAGAAGAAGUUAGACUGUGAAGAAAAUAAAAUUGUAAAAGGACAAAAAUGCUCAUGGGACAGAGGUGGAGAGGAUUAAAACAGAGCAGACAGGCAAGACCACUUAACUUCUACUGUCACGUGAGUUAAGGAGAGACAAAGAGACAAUGGUGCUUAGCUAGUACCUGUAUCUAAAAGAAGUUAAAAAACAAAAC
rnacentral:lncRNA from 1 species